rnacentral:rRNA from 1 species
CUCCAAAGCAUCGCGCCGGUCAUCACGUGAUCUAUGUGGUCUCGGAAGACCCUUACUAACC